UAAUAAAAUUACCCUAAAUGUCUCUACACAUUAAAGGCCCAUACCCUAUUAGACACAUUAAAGCCCAAUCUAGAUAAACCUUAGUCGAUCACUUUAACGGGCUUAACCUUACGUGACAGUCUUGCAACACAUAAUAUUUCACAUAUAAGUCCAACGUUGGAUUAAUGAUCCAACAAUCUCCCACUUGGACUAUAUGUGUAACUUUAUAAUUAU
rnacentral:lncRNA from 1 species